AGAGCGAACGCUGGCGGCAGGCCUAACACAUGCAAGUCGAGCGCCCCGCAAGGGGAGCGGCAGACGGGAGAGUAACACGUGGGAACGUACCCUUUGGUUCGGAACAACACAGGGAAACUUGUGCUAAUACCGGAUAAGCCCUUACGGGGAAAGAUUUAUCGCCAAAGGAUCGGCCCGCGUCUGAUUAGCUUGUUGGUGAGGUAACGGCUCACCAAGGCUACGAUCAGUAGCUGGUCUGAGAGGAUGAUCAGCCUCACUGGGACUGAGACACGGCCCAGACUCCUACGGGAGGCAGCAGUGGGGAAUAUUGGACAAUGGGCGCAAGCCUGAUCCAGCCAUGCCGCGUGGAUGAUGAAGGCCCUAGGGUUGUAAAGUCCUUUCGACGGGAAGAUAAUGACGGUACCGUAGAGAAGCCCCGGCUAACUUCGUGCCAGCAGCCGC
rnacentral:rRNA from 1 species